rnacentral:tRNA from 1 species
GGGGGUGUAAGCUAACUAGGCAACGCUACAAGACUUAAAAUCUUGUGUUUGUAGGUUCGAUUCCUACUGCCCCUA